GACGGGGAAGAGAGAAAGGAAGAUGAAAAUAAGUGUGUGAAGGAAGCAAGGGAAGGAGACAGGAGAGAGCUCCUGAAAGAAAAGAGACUAAGUGCAGAAGAAAAUAUGACACACAUGGAGAAACAAAUGAGAGAGCUGGAGGUCAAAGAUUCCUCCAUCUUCUCAGCUGGUGCUGAGGUCAAACAGACCCAGUGCAAAGAUGUCUCCAUGGUUACUGCAACUGAGUCAAAGACUCUGAACC